UACGUAGGGGCCGAGCGUUGUCCGGAGUUAUUGGGCGUAAAGCGCGCGCAGGCGGCUUCGCGCGCCCGACGUGAAAGCCCCCGGCUUAACCGGGGAGAGUCGUUGGGGACGGCGGAGCUUGAGGGCGGGAGAGGUCGGUGGAAUUCCCGGUGUAGUGGUGAAAUGCGUAGAUAUGCGGAGGAACACCGAUGGCGAAGGCAAUCCCCUGGGCCUGCACUGACGCUCAUGCACGAAAGCGUGGGGAGCAAACAGG
rnacentral:rRNA from 1 species